AUUGAACGCUGGCGGAAUGCUUUACACAUGCAAGUCGAACGGCAGCACGGACUUCGGUCUGGUGGCGAGUGGCGAACGGGUGAGUAAUGUAUCGGAACGUGCCCAGUCGUGGGGGAUAACGUAGUGAAAAUUACGCUAAUACCGCAUACGAGCUAUGGGUGAAAGCGGGGGAUCGCAAGACCUCGCGCGAUUGGAGAGGCCGAUAUCAGAUUAGGUAGUUGGUGGGGUAAAGGCCCACCAAGCCAACGAUCUGUAGCUGGUCUGAGAGGACGACCAGCAACACUGGAACUGAGACACGGUCCGGACUCCUACGGGAGGCAGCAGUGGGGAAUUUUGGACAAUGGGCGAAAGCCUGAUCCAGCCAUUCCGCGUGCAGGAUGAAGGCCCUCGGGUUGUAAACUGCUUUUGUACAGAACGAAAAGGUUUCUACUAAUACUAGGAGCUCAUGACGGUACUGUAAGAAUAAGCACCGGCUAACUACGUGCCAGCCGCCGCCGUAA
rnacentral:rRNA from 1 species